UUUAAGACUUCUAAAUUUUGAACUUAUUCCGGAUAAUUAAUCUAUUAUUUUACAUUAACUAAGCGGUCGAUUUUAAUUACAAUUCUUACAUUUAAAGCUAAGCCCUCCUUCUUUCUUAGCCCUUGUCAUUGUAUACCAACUAAUCCAAAUCAUACGAUGUUCUGCAGCUUGUUGACCCACCAGAAUUGAUUAAGAAUGCCACGAAUUUCCUUUAUUAGAUUAUCUGGAAGUUUGAAACAAGACAGAGUAUAUAUCGGGAUUUCUUCUCCUACCGCCCUUAGUAAUACUUGUCUUUCUCCAUUAGAUAAAAGACAUCGUUUCCAGCUUUGGACCUUUUUGAUAACCCUUUCUUUGAUAGCAGAAAAGGUGACAUUUUUCGAUUUAUUUACUAAAGAAGAAGUCCCAAAUACUUGUCUUGAAUUCCAAUGUGUGAAAUAUUUAUGGUAAUAGCAAAUGAUGUGCAUAUAUUAUGAAGAGUGUUAUUGCUGAAGAAGAUUGCAGAUUUAUUAAGGUUAAUUUUUUUACUAUUGAAGCUUUCAAAAUCCCCUAAUAAAUCUAAGAUCCUCCCACAAUUAUCUUUUGAUGCCUUACAGAAUAAUAUAGAAUCAUCUGCAAAAAGUAAAUAAUUAACCUUAGGACAUCUUCUUGUAAUUUGGAUCCAUUGAAUGUGCCGGUUUUGCUCUGCUUUGUGUAGUAAGAAGGAGAGACCUUCUGCACAAAAUAGAAAAAGAAAAGGAGAUAGAGGGUCACCCUAACGGAUGCCUCUAUUUGGUUUAAAAAAAUCGUAUGGUUGGCCUUCCACAACCACAGAGUAAGAAACUGUCGUUACCAAUUCAUGAAUCUAACCUAUCCACGUAGAAUCAAAUCCCAUAUUCUUCAUGAUAAAUCACAAAAAUUGCCACUCAACACUGUCGUAUGCUUUAUUCAUGUCUAGUUUAAGGGUCAUCUUAUACUUUAAAUCUCUCUUUUUCUUUUUGAGGUAAUACAUACACUCAUGUGCUAUAUCAGGAUAUUAUCUCAAAUGAGUCUCCCCUUUAGAAAUGCGCUCUCAUUAGGGCUAAUAAAUUUAUUCAUACACCCUUAUAAUCUAUGAACCAGUAUCUUAGAGAUAAUUUUGUAGAAUAUAAAGGAUAAACUAAUGAGUCGUACCUGGAACAUGUCACAAGCACCAAGAAUCUUAGGAGUAAGGUAGAUAUUAGUAUAAUUGAAACUCCUUAAAAUGUGUCCUCCUCAAAAAAACCUUCUAACUAAAUGUAUAUCUUGUAUGUAUCUUGAAUUGAGAACAAAUUAAAUCAUGCACACCUUAGUAAUAAACAUAGUUAAAGUUGUUCCGGACAAAACCUCCGGAUCCCACCCAACCCGACUCGGUCUAGGGUGACCUAUUCGCUCCAAGAAAUCCUCCACAAUCCCUAUCUACUUUUAAAAUUCAAAAGCACUUAUCCUCUUUCAAAUAUGAUACGAUAAACAAUCUAAUAAGAGAGAAUCCGACCACCCUUACAAGGUACCACUCUACAUUCUUUCAAGAGCUCGCAAGAUCCAUGGGCUGGUCUCAACGGGCUUUUGAUCCUCACCCUCAUCAGGUACAAGGUACAGGCUAUAUCUUAUUCAAAAGUGUACAAAUCUAACAUUAUAAAAAGAAAGAACCAAAGAAUAGAUAUUCAAAAAAAUUUAAUUUCUUAUUACUUUAUAUUAAAAUCAGCUGAUAUAAAGGGGAAACAAUGAUGAUAAUAUAAGUGCCAGUGGUACAGGAGCCUGGCCGGAAAUAAAUUCUUGGUUUUGGAAUAUAUACACACACAUGCCCUGUUAGAUCUGAAUGACAAUCAGAAACAGAGAGUUGAUA